rnacentral:rRNA from 1 species
GACGAACGCUGGCGGCGUGCUUAACACAUGCAAGUCGAACGGAAAGGCCUCUUUCGGGGGGUACUCGAGUGGCGAACGGGUGAGUAACACGUGAGUAACCUGCCCUUGACUUUGGGAUAACUUCAGGAAACUGGGGCUAAUACCGGAUAGGAGCUCCUGCUGCAUGGUGGAGGUUGGAAAGUUUCGGCGGUUGGGGAUGGACUCGCGGCUUAUCAGCUUGUUGGUGGGGUAGUGGCUUACCAAGGCUUUGACGGGUAGCCGGCCUGAGAGGGUGACCGGCCACAUUGGGACUGAGAUACGGCCCAGACUCCUACGGGAGGCAGCAGUGGGGAAUAUUGCACAAUGGGUGGAAGCCUGAUGCAGCAACGCCGGGUGCGGGAUGACGGCCUUCGGGUUGUAAACCGCUUUCGCUCAUGACGAAGCUUUGUGUGACGGUAGUGGGUAAAGAAGCACCGGCUAACUACGUG